ensembl:rRNA 5S_rRNA 5S ribosomal RNA
UCUGGCAGCUAGCUCUCUGCAAAUCUCACAUUGUCGCCCACUGAAGCUGAGCAGGGCUGAGCCUGAUCAGUACCUGGAUGGGAGACCACAUGGAAAAGCUAGGUUGCUGCUAGUG